GGCUACGUAGCUCAGGUGGUUAGAGCACAUCACUCAUAAUGAAGUGGACACAGGUUCGAAUCCCGACGUACCCACCA
rnacentral:tRNA from 1 species